rnacentral:tRNA from 1 species
GCAUAAAGCUUAGCGGUAAAGUGCCUGCCUAGCAUGCAUGAGGCUCUGGAUUCAAUCCCGUAAUGCA